UUGUAAAUAAAUAUAGCAGAAAGUAAAUACAAUAUGAAGAGAGAGAAUGAUAGAUUUGAGAGAUCAAUAAAGGCCAGGGAAUCUUAGAAUAAUUCUGAUUAUUGAGUAUGACAACAAUUCGAUGGAGUGAAUGAGUUUGAAUUUUGGUAUAGUAAAAGUAGUAAAAUGGUUGUCCCUCUUCUUAGUUUAAGAGAUGAUUUUUUGUAAGCUUUCCAGGAGUCGUUGCUCUCCCAGUCGUAGCCCCUGGAGAAGUGGUAUUCCUCCUAUUUCGGAGGAAAAUUGCUACCCAGUUGUAUUAGUGGACCACUUUUUCUUUGCCACAUGGCUUCAGCCUCAAAGGUCAUCUUAGUCAUGGAUGAGUGGUAAACUCAUGGGCUCCAAGUUGCGACUUGGUUCAUAUGAGUGUUGACUAAUUCUGAGCUUGGGCUUGUUAAUCCAUAGUCUCUAGGAACACCUUUGGGCUACGAAUUAAAUCUUAUUUUGGGCCUGAGCUGCCAUUGGAGUGUGAUGUAGAGCCCAAGGUCAUUUUUUGGCAACUAUAGUUUGUCCCUUGCUUUUAGAGUUGAGUUUUGUUCAAGUGAAAAAGAUCUUGUGUUGUUACUGCAUGUAAGCAAGCUUUUUAAGGGUAGGAGCUUAUUUUGACCUUAUGUUCGAUAGAAAUUUCAAUUGGUCAAUUUCUGAGUAUAUCAGUUUGAGAGUUUUCGGUCUAGGAUUGAUUGACAACGUUUAUGCCCAAUGUUGGACAGUUGUCCAUAGUUUGAGGUAUCUUGAAAGCAAGGUGAAAUACUAUUGAAUAGUGUUAAUAGCAAGUCAUUGUGAGCACUUGGAUUGCAUUUAAGUGUCACCUUGUCCUUUAUGUAUGAAUGGAGUUGAGAAUUCUUCCAAUGUUUGUGAAAACUUGGACAUGCAUCAGACUAGGUCAUGAAACCAAAUGCAACCUUGGUCAUAAGCGUUUGAAUUACUUGAAUGGGCCGUAACUUUGAGUAUCUUGAAUGAUUUUAACCUUUAGCAGUCAGAUUAUGUGCUUACCCGAUCACUCGAAUGAGUAUGAGAUUGAACACUUGGUUAUGUUAGCUUUGAGCACUUAGCCUAGAUUCAAAUUUUAAUAGUUGGUGUUUGAAUUCAUUUGAGCAUUUAGAUUAAGCUCAACCCCUAGCAAUCAAUUUGAUUGUUAAUUUAAGUACCCAUAUUUAAAGUUUGAUGAGCACUCGAUUUUGUUGAGUAUUCGAAUUGGGUACAUUUUUUCAAAUAAUUGAAAUGACUUUAUUACUUGGCAAUAAAACUAGUUUCAAGCAUCAGCCGUCAUCUUGAGUGCCAACUUGAGCACUCAGAUUAAAUGCAAGCUUUAGUAGUCAACCUAAGAAUAAUCUUGAGCACUCUAUAUUGAAUUUUGUUGAUCACUUGGCUGCUAGUUUUGAUAAGCACCUAGUUUUGAGUUCAAAUUUAGCACUCGAAUUUGUAUGAAUUUUAGCACUUGAAAUUGCUUAACACUAGCAGUCGAACUGUAUGUUUUAUUGAGUACUCGUAUCGAUCAUAUUUAAACUCGUAUUGGAUGCAAGUAUAGAACAGUCAGAUUGGUGAUCUUUUAUACACUUGAACUAGUGUCAAUACUGAGCAUUCAGAUUUGAAGCCAAUUUUUUUUUCAUUGAUGUCAAGUGUGAGUUGUUAGGAAAAUAACAUAUAGCUUACAUAUCAUUUUUUUUUUUUGGUUACAUAGCUUACAUAUCUUUUAUCACUUACAUGUGUCACAAUAAAUUGCUUACAUAGCUUUUAUGCAAAUAAAAUUAUGGCUUUAGAUUGAUGCCAAGUGUGAGCUUUUAAGAAAAUAACAUAUUACUCAACAUAACUUUUAUCACUUGACACUUGUCACAAUGAAUUGCUUAUGUAGCUUUUAUGCCAAUAAAGCUAUGGCCAUAAGGUGACUCGAAUUGAUGCCGAGUGUGAGCUUUUUUAAGAAAGUAGCUUAUAGCUUAUAUAGCUUUUGGCACUUAGCACUUGGCCACGUGUGAGUCUACAAGUGAUAUGAGUGUAAUUUUGGUCUUUCAUUUGACCAUAAUGUGAGAAAAAAAUACUGGAGAAGAAAAACUUUGAAAAACACUGCUGAUAUUUUUAUUUUAUCGUUAUUUCAAUACACAAAAGAACCUAGAAUAUAUAGAGAUAUUCUGAAAUAAAAUAUCCCUCUAAACUAGGAAACAAAUCAGCAAUAAAUAAGAAAAAUAUACAGAUAAAACAGAAUAAUAAAAAACCUGAUUUUAUUCCUAAAAACAAGGAUUGACUAAAUCAAUACUUGAUUGCCUCUCAAUCUCUCGAAUAUCAGUCAACUGAGAGUGGCUGAUUUUCUACGCUACCCCUCAAGCUGGAUUGUAUACAUCAAACAAUCCUCGCUUGUAAGCCAUUUUUCCAAACAAAGGUCUAGGCAAUCCUUUAGUUAGAACGUCUGCAGUUUGCUCGGUUGAAGCCACAUAAGGCAUGGAGAUGGUUCCAUUGUCAACCUUCUUUAAUGAAGUGUCGAUCCACCUCUACAUGUUUAGUACGAUCACGGUGUAUAUGAUUAUGAGCUAUGCUGAUGGCAGCUUUGUUGUCACAGUACAACUUCAUGGAACUUUUUGUUGCAACUUGUAGUUCUUCUAGAAGAAGCUUUAGCCAAAUUAAUUCACUGAUCCCAUUUGCCAAGGAUCUAAAUUCAGCCUCAGCACUACUCCUGGCUACUACAUUUUGCUUUUUGCUUCUCCAUGUCACUAAGUUUCCCCAAACGUAAGAAUAGUAACCAGAUGUGGAUUGUCUAUCAACCACUGAUCCAGCCCAAUCAGCAUCAGUGUAAGUUUCAAUCUCCCGUGAUUCUCCCUUCUUAAAGAAGAGUCCUUUUCCUGGGCUCCCUUUUAGAUACUUCAAUAUUAGGAAGACUGCAUGUAGAUGUUCUUCAUAAGGAGCAUGCAUAAACUGACUUACCAUGCCGACAGCGUAAGCUAUAUCAGGUCUUGUGAGCUAAAUAAAUGAGUUUUCAUACAAGUCGUUGGUAUCUACCCUUGUCCACGGGUGUGCUCGUCUUUUGAUCCCCAAGUUUAACAGUCGGAUCAGCUGGAGUAUCAAUGAGCUUGCACCCAAGUAACCCAGUCUCCUUUAAAAGGUCCAAGAUAUAUUUCCUUUGUGAAACAGAAAUAACAGACCUAUUUCGAGCAAUUUCCAUACUUAGAAAAUACCUUAACAUUCCUAGAUCUUUGAUUUCAAAUUCUUCUGCAAGUUUCCUUUUUACAAAAUUUAUUUAUGAAGUAUUGUCUCUUGUUAAGAUAAUAUCAUCAACAUAUACAAUAAGUAUAGUUGACUUACCACCCUCAUGUUUGUAGAACAAUGUAUGGUUGGUGUGAGCCUGCUUAUACCCUUGGUGGAGAACAACUUUCGUGAACCUCUCAAACCAUGCCCUUGGUGAUUGUUUAAGUUCAUAAAGAGACUUGUUUAACUUACACACCUGUCCUGUCCUUUUAGCUCUCUGAAAUCCUGGAAGAAGUUCCAUAAAGACUUCUUCAUUCAAGUUUCCAUUAAGGAAGACAUUUUUAAUGUCCACAUGAUGAAGCGGCCAAUCUAGAUUUUCUGCUAGUGAGAGAACACAGAUCGUAUUGAGCUUGGCUACAGGAGCAAAUGUCUCUUGAUAGUCUAUCCCGUAGGUCUGAGUAAACCCUUUUGCAACUAACCGUGUUUUGUAUCUUUCAACAGAUCCAUCUGAUCUAUAGUUUAAUGUGAAUACCCAUUUGGACCCCACAGGAACAACAUCUUAGGGUUUUGUGACAAUUUCCCAAGUCCCAUUUUUCUCUAAAGCUUGCAUUUCUUCUUCUACUGCCCUUCUCCACUCCGUUCGUUCAAGUGCUUCUUCAAUUGUCUUAGGAAUUUCAAUCUCUUCAAGAUUAGAGACAAAGGCUUUCAUAGACGUGGAUAAAUGAUCUUACUGUCAGCUGGGCUAUAGGAUGUUGAGUGCAAGAACGAACACCUUUCCUUAAGGCAAUAGGUAGAUUAUUUUAACUAUCCAAAGGAAAAGAGACAAGUGAAUUACUUGGGUCUGGAUCAGAUUCAUGACAAGUCUUUUGAGUAAGAGGAGUUUCUACUAUUUGUUGAUUCUUCCGAUGAGAGUAAACACGAAGUUCAAUAUUUUGUUGGGUUUUUUCUUGUUGGACAUCUAGGUCAAGAUCCUUGGCUUCUUGAUGACAUCUUCCUCAUCAAAAUUUUCAAUUAUUGGCAAACUGGGGCUUUUUGGAUGUGCGUGAUUAGGGUCUGAAAUAGGUUUGGAAGUAGUUGAAGAGGAGGAGCUUGGUAAGGUAAUGGAGUUUGAUGAAGUGAUGUGAUUGAGAAUUUUUUAGACCACCAUUGACGUAUGUCUAUGCUAGGAGGGGUAAGGGCAGAAAGAAUGACAGGUUAGCAGAGAGUAGGAGCGAGGAGAGUUAGUUAGGAGGGGUUUUGUAUUGUGUAAGGGGAACACGGUAGAAUUGAUAAGCCUUAGUAUAAAUAGAGGAGAGAAAUAGAGCAAAGUGUGCAUUCCUUUACUGAGAAAUCUGAUUGUAAUUGGAGAGAACCCAGCUCUCGAAUUCUGGGUAUUUUCAAUGAAAAGGCUGUUGAGGAGCAUUAUUGAGCUUGGUUAUUAAAUUCCUUACUGUUAAUUCUAGCAUUACCAUAUCAAGUGGUAUCAGAGUCCAGGUCCACUAUGGGACCUAAGCCGGAUUUUCAAAUAGAAAUGGUGGAGGAGAAGAUCGAGGAAGUUCAGUCGGAGUUUCGGCAGGAGGUGUCGGCAAUUUGAGCACAGGUGCAGCACUUUCUGCAAGAAUUGGAAGCCUUACGCGCUGAUACACAGAGGAUCCCAGAACUGGAGAAGAAGGUAGAGUACUUGAUUACCCAUAUCACUCAGCUGUUGCAAUCUUCCAAUAGUAUGGGAGCUGUUGGUACGAGUGCGGCGGAGGAUCGGCAUGGGAAGGCAGUUGAAGGAGACAGUUCGUCAUCGCAUCAACCGAUGGGUCCUCCGUCGGCGACGCUUCCACCACCGGCACCUUCAUUGAGCUAUCCGACACCGCCAUUGGAGCCACACACAGCUCGGGAUUUCAGGCCACCGCCGAUGGAACUACCCUUGUUCUCGGGUGAGAACUCAGAUGGCUGGGUCUUUCGCGUGGAGCGUUACUUCCUGCUGAAUCGUCUCACAGAAGCUCACAUGUUGGAGGCGACGAUUAUUGGGUUGGAAGGGGAUGCACUCAUGUGGUUCCAGUGGGAACACUCCAGGCGCCCAAUCACUUCAUGGGCUCUGUUGAAACAUUUGUUGAUGGUGCGAUUUCGGUCGGUUCCAGUGGGGUCGGCGACGGAGGAGUUGUUAUCUGCCAAGUAGGAGACGACGGUGAGGGCUUACCGGAUUCAGUGGGAAGCACUGGCGUCGAGGGUGGUCGGAGUUCCAGAACACGUUCUGGAGGGCUGUUUCAUCAAGGGAUUGAAAGAGGAGAUCAAGGGCCCUUUACACGUGCUGCAGCCAUCGAGCCUGACCCACAUCAUGGAAACGGCCCAAAGGAUUGAAGAGGGUCAUCAUUUGACUGGAUUGGGCUUUCACCAAAAAGGGGGUAUGGCUCGGGCUGCCCCAAGCCCAAUCGUGAUACCAAGGUUCACACCCCAGCCCUCUUCGACGAGGAGUUCGCACACCAUCUUCUCCGGCGGCUCUACCCAACCGAAGGCGAGUACAGGGCAUACGACGGGAACCCAAACGAACCCCCCGAUCAUGCGACGAUUGACGGAAGUCGAAUAUCUUGACAAGAAGAAUCGUGGAGUUUGUUUUCGUUGUGAUAAGAAGUUUCACAGAGGGCAUGUGUGCGAACAGAAGGCACUCCAUGUCAUGUUAGUUGCCGAUGACUUAGAAGGGUCCGAAAGUCAAGAAUCGGCCCCGUCCAGCCCAGAAUCCGGUGACGAAACAAUGCAAGAGGAGCAACUGGCGAUGCUGUCCCUGAAUUUGUUAGUUGGAAUAUCAUCAGCCCAUACAAUGAAAAUAUCAGGCACCAUAGCCAAGCAUCCAGUAACGGUGCUCAUUGAUAGCGGAGCCACACAUAAUUUUGUGUCGAAGGAGUUGGCUCAGGCGGUUCAUCUACCGAUUACAGCAACAACCGUUUACGGAGUAUUGCUGGGAACAGGAGGCCGAGUGCGUACAGAAGGCAUUUGUACGAAUGUGGAUGUAAUGACCCAACUACUCUAGACUUUUGGACCAUUAACGAAAAUUAAACCUACUAAUCCUUAAUAAAACUUACAAGUGAAAAUACCAUAACUUUAUUAAGGAACUUGUAAAAAUAAGAGUUAAACUUACAUAAAAUUUAGGUUAGGAUAUGGGAUCUCAUUGUUUUAAAAAGAAAACAUAUCUUAAUUGAAAUGAAAAGAGAUUACAUAAAUAGAUGCGGAAAAAUACAUAUAAACCAUAAAUAAAGACUACAUCCUCGAAAUCGAACUCUAGACUCCUUGAAUCCAUUCAUCACCGAUACACAUUCCCCAAGCAUCCACGAAUCUUACUUGCCACUAUAGCUAUUUUCCUGCACACAUAAACAAAAAGGAAUGAGCCUAAUGCCCAGCAAGGAAAAUCUACCACAUAGUUCAUAUACAUAAAUUUCAUAAGAAACAUAAAAACAUAGCAUAACACUUAUAUCAUACACAUACUAUAAUGACCAUUAUUACUUGGGGUCUCAUAGACUAAACAAGUCAUAUGCCCAUUAGAUUAGUGGGGUCCUACUAGCUAAGCAGGUCAUAUGCCCAUAAUCUAUUUGGGGCUUGUUAGUCAUAUGGGUCUAUGCCCAAGCCUACAAACAUACAUAUCAUAACAUAUUGCAUAACAUAAGAAUCAUAAGAUAACACAUACAAACAUAUAACAUAUAAAUUCUAUCUUAUUUUCCUUACCAAAAUUACUGGGAUAAGAGGACAGAGUUGAGACUUUGGAACACUCCUAAGAACUAUUUUGAAAAAAGAGUGAGUAUAGUGAAGAAGAGAAAUGGAAGAAAUGGAAGGACUAAACCAUUGAGAAAAAUACUUACAAAAAACUUAUGUGCAAGUUCUUAGAUUUCCUAACCAAAAUAAGAAUAAGGUUAGAAGGCUGAGUAGAAGACUAUGAGAACUUAAAAUAAAAUAAUACCAAUGAACUAAGGUGUGGAAAUACCUUGAAGACUUGUAAGACCAAUCUAAACCUUUCAUCGAAAUGUGUAUAGAACCUUACUUCCCAAAGUGUUUGAUAAGCUUAUGAUGAUCAAGCUUAUGAUUCCCAACCCAAGUGUUUAUACUCUCACACUCACCUAGCAACUUGCAGCCUCUGAACUUAGAGCAAAAGAUGAAUAAUGGCUGGGUACUCGGUCCUAUUUAUAGAGUUUAGGAAUGAAAGGAUCUUAAUUUAACUUGAAUAAAAAUAAUGGCUUUUUAGGUGAAAAUAAUUUGAAUUGUUGUUCAGCAGAGGCUGAAGACUCGUUCAGAAAGGUGUUGGACUUAUCAAGAGGUUGAAGGGUUGAAUGGAAAAUGAUUUAAAAAACAUUCAAAAUAUGUUGAAGGAGGCGAUAUAUCGCCCCCUAUAGGCGAUAUAUCGCCUGGACCAUUAUGCCCGAGGCAAACGUGCAUCGUUUCGUGUUUUUCGUAUCUACGUGCUGCGAUAUAUCGCCCCCUAUAGGUGCGAUAUAUCGGCAUACGCUGAUUAUUUAAACACGAAAUUACACAUUUUUAGCUUAAUUCAAAUUGAGUAAACAGCCUUGACUAAGCCCUCAAACGUAUUCAAAGCUGCUGAUUGACCUUAGAGCAUUCAAAUUUUACCCUUAUUAAAUUUAAUCCUCUAAAUACUUAAUCCUUAAUCACCCAUACAUAACAUGUGCUUAAAAUCCUAUUGGUUCUUAUCUAAACCUUAUAGUAUAUUAAAUAUUAUCCUUAAUAUCAGCCAUAUUAAUCAAACCUUAGGUUAACAUCAAUAUUCUUAAACUAUAGGUUAAACUUAGAAAAUCUACAAGUACUGCUAUGAGUGUCCAAAUAAAUCCCGGUCCGAACCAAAAAUCCACAGUCAUAAAGAUAAUACUAUUAUUACUAUUAUACUACUAUCUAACUAGCUAAGUAAAGUUCUUGGACUCUACAGUGGAGUUGGAUUUAGGUUCGUUACGGGUGGUUACAGACUUCUUGCCUUUGGAAUUGGGGGGUGCUGAUGCAAUUUUGGGCAUUCAAUGGCUGAGUACGUUGGGCAAUAUGCAGGUCAACUGGCGAACAAUGGUGAUGAAAUUCGAAGUAGGGGGGUCGUGGGUAACAUUACAGGGGGACCCCAGUUUGUGCAAAUCACAAAUCUCCCCGAAAGCCUUGAUUCACUUGGUUCAACAAGAAGGACAAGGAUACUGGAUUCAGUUUGGGGCCUUGGCAGCCAAUACCGAGAACUUGUGUACAACUACGUUGCCCGAAGUUGAGGAUAUAUUACAGAAGCAUGAUUCGGUUUUCCACAUGCCGAGAGGGUUGCCUCCUCCGCGUUCUCAUGAGCACCAUAUCACAAUGAAGGAGGGCUCAGGUCCAAUAUCGGUUAGACCGUACCGAUACGCACAGAUACAAAAGGAUGAGAUAGAGAAUUUGUUGACUGAAAUGUUACAGGCAGGGAUAGUACAGCCCAGCACGAGCCCUUUUUUGAGCCCGGUACUCCUCGUAAAAAAGAAAGACAGCAGCUGGAGAUUUUGUGUUGAUUAUAGAGCCUUGAACCGCGAGACGGUCGCUGAUAAAUUCCCUAUUCCAGCGAUAGACGAGUUAUUAGAUGAACUAUAUGGGGCGAAGGUCUUUUCGAAAUUGGACCUUAAAUCCAGAUAUCACCAAAUAAGAGUGGCAGCAAGAGAUAUAGAAAAGACGGCUUUCCGAACACACGAGGGGCACUACGAAUUUUUGGUAAUGCCAUUCGGCCUAACCAAUGCUCCAGCCACGUUUCAAGCCUUGAUGAACGACGUCUUUCGUGAGUUUUUGAGAAAAUUCGUGUUAGUCUUUUUUGACGAUAUACUCAUUUAUAGCACAUCACUGGAGCUUCACUUACAGCACCUGGAUUUAGUCUUAAGUCGCCUCAGCCAGCAUCGACUUUAUGCCAACAAAAAGAAGUGUUUGUUUACGCAGUCCAAAUUGGAAUAUUUGGGCCACAUUGUCUCGGCGGAAGGAGUUUCAGCGGACCCGCUGAAACUGGCAGCAAUGUCACGGUGGCCAGCGCCGAAAAAUCUGAAAGAAUUAAGGGGUUUUCUCGGUCUUACCGGUUAUUAUAGGAAGUUUGUAAGAGGCUAUGGGCAGUUGGCAAGACCGUUAACGGACCAGUUAAAGAAAGAUGCUUUUGGCUGGAGUAAGGAAGCACAAGACGCAUUCCUAGCAUUGAAGAGAUCCAUGUGUGAAGUCCCAGUUUUGGCUCUGCCAAAUUUCGCAGCCCCGUUUGUGGUGGAAACGGAUGCCUCGGGUACAGGCCUUGGGGCUGUAUUGAUGCAACAGCAGCGCCCUAUAGCAUAUUUUAGCAAAGCACUUUCUCCUCGGGCUCGCUGUAAAUCAGUAUAUGAGCGGGAGCUCAUGGCAAUGGUGUUAGCUAUACAAAAAUGGCGCCCUUACUUGUUGAGCCGCCAAUUUAUUGUUCGGACAGAUCAACGGAGUUUACGCUACUUACUUGAGCAGCGAAUGGUAGCAACGAAGCACCAAAAGUGGCUGACGAAGUUACUGGGUUAUGAUUUUCAGGUACAGUACAGACCGGGCCUUGAAAACAAGGUUGCCGAUGCAUUAUCGAGGGUACCUCAGGUGGUGGAGUGCCAAGCAUUGUCGAUCCCCAACAUGAUUUCAAUUUCGGAUUUGAAGCACCAUGUAGCCACUGAUCCUAAUCUGUCCAAAAUUAUUCAAAAACUUCAGGCAGGAAAAACUUGCGCAGGGUACUCUUUUGCUAAGGAUUAUCUAUAGUUUAAAGGGCGGCUGGUUAUUCCUUCCUCAUCACCAUUUAUACCAUUAUUACUAUAGGAGUAUCAUUGCAGUAAUGUGGGGGGUCACGCAGGGGCAUUUCGUACAUAUCAGCGAGUAGCUGCUGAUUUAUAUUGGCACGGGAUGCGGGGAGAUAUACAGAAAUUCGUCGCUGAAUGUCCCAUAUGCCAGCAGAGUAAGUAUUUGGCCCAAUCGCCAGCCGGAUUGCUACAGCCACUCCCAAUACCAGACCAAGUAUGGGAUGCUAUCUCAAUGGAUUUUAUAGAGGGUCUUCCACAAUCUAAUGGUUUUGACUUGAUCCUUGUGGUGGUGGAUCGCUUAUCAAAGUAUGGGCAUUUUGUUCCUCUUCGGCACCCUUACACAGCCGCUACGGUCGUUGCAGUUUUCGUCAAGGAGGUGGUCAAGUUACACGGUAUUCCAAGAUCCAUUGUCUCGGAUAGGGAUAAAAUUUUUCUUAGCCUUUUUUGGAAGGAACUAUUCAAGUUACAAGGGACAAUGCUCAAGCAUAGCUCAGCCUACCAUCCACAAAUGGAUGGCCAGACCGAGGUACUUAAUAGGUGCUUGGAGACAUACUUACGCUGCUUUGUAAGCUCUAAGCCGUUGCAGAGGGUAAAAUGGUUAGCUUGGGCAGAGUAUUGGUACAAUACGUCUUAUCAUUCGGCAGCAGGAAUGACAUCAUUCAAGGCGUUGUACCACAGAGAUCCACCACCUGUAAUUCGAUUAGAAGGUAACCAAACGAUUAUGUUGGCUGUAGAAAAAAAUCUGCAAGCGCGUGAUGAAGUUUUAGAGCUGCUGAAGAUGAACUUGCACCGUGCCCAGCAAAAGAUGAAGUUUCAGGCUGACAAGAAGAGAAGGGACAUUGAAUAUGCAGUUGGUGAUAAGGGCUGUGAAGCUUAAACCAUAUAGACAGCAGACAUUGGCCAAGCGUAAGAACCAGAAAUUGAGACCUUUGUUUUUUGGCCCGUACCAGAUUCUAUCCAAGAUAGGCAUGACGGCUUACAAGCUGCAACUACCGGCUGAGGCAAAGAUACAUCCUGUUUUUCAUGUGUCUAUGCUCAGACCAGCUUUGGAUCCGCACCAAACAGCUACCACCCUCCCCAAGAAGCUGACAGAAGAACUGGAGUGGCUCCUCGAACCAGAAGCGCCGUUGGACAUGAGACCGGGAACACAUACGGAACAGCCGCAAGUGUUGAUCAAAUGGCUGCAUCUACCUGAGUUCAAAUCUACCUGGGAGGAUUUAGCAACGGUUCAACAACAGUUUCCAGACUUCCACCUUGAGGACAAGGUGCGUCUUUGGGCCGGGGGUAAUAUUAGACCACCAUUGACGUAUGUCUAUGCUAGGAGGGGUAAGGGCAGAAAGAAUGACAGGUCAGCAGAGAGUAGGAGUGAGGAGAGUUAGUUAGAAGGGGUUUUGUAUUGUGUAAGGGGAACAUGGUAGAAUUGAUAAGCCUUAGUAUAAAUAGAGGAGAGAAGUAGAGCAAAGUGUGCAUUCCUUUACUGAGAAAUCUGAUUGUAAUUGGAGAGAACCCAGCUCUCGAAUUCUGGGUAUUUUCAAUGAAAAGGUUGUUGAGGAGCAUUAUUGAGCUUGGUUAUUAAAUUCCUUACUGUUAAUUCUAGCAUUACCAUAUCAGAAUUUCAGAAGAGAAGAACCAAAAAUUUCCUUCUCCUUCAGUACCUAUCUCCCCCCGAAGGGAAUUUUUAGGAUAGAAAUGAGUGUUUAAAAAAAUUGAGAUCCAUGGACAAUCAAUUUUUUCGGUUUUGGGGAAGACUGCUGCUCAUUUUGUGGAUCCACAUUCGACUCAAAACUGAUUGUUGGUUUUAUACCGAUUGUUGGUUUUAUAUGAGGGGUAGUACUCGGUUUGAAGUCGGUAUUGAGUUUAUUGUUAUAGGGUUUGGUGUUGGCAUUUUCCUAGUUAAUAUCUUUCAGACCAAAAUAAUGCGAGUCCUUUUGGCAUGUAGUCAAUAGUUGGCUCAUAGCUGACUGUAGGGAUUGUUCUCGCAAGGUAUCAACUAGGUUGAGUGCUUUAUGCAUUAGCAGCUCAAGACCGACGGUUGAAAAUGCAUCAAGAUACCAGUAUGGGAUUAGUGACAUGUGUCUAUAGCCAUUUAUGUUAAGUGUUAGAAUCCCACAUCGACUAUGCAUGAGAUUGGUGGGUGGUUUAUAAAUUGCUAGGAUCCCACAUUGACCAAGUAUGAGAGUGGUUGGUGGUUUAUAACUACUUGGACACUCCUUCCAUAGGCUAGUCUUUUGGGAGUGAGUUCUACCUAAGUGGUUAUAACAAAUGCUAUCAAAGCCACACACCCUCAAGUGGAACCUAUGUUGCAAAAGGGGCAACCUAUGGAAGGGGCAGCCUAGAGUGGGGCGGCCCCUCUAAGAGUGGUGUAUUGUUAGAAUCCCACAUCGACUAAGUAUGGGAUUGGUUGGUGGUGGGUGGUUUAUAAUUACUUUGGGCACCAUCCUCCCAUAGGCUAGUAUUCUGGAAUGAGUUUUACCUAAGUGGUUAUAACAAUAUGUCUAAGAAAGUGAAAUAAAUGAGGUACUAAUGUUGCACUUACCCUUUUUCCGAAUAUUCAUGGUCAAAUAGAGAACCAAAACUAUACACUCAUAUAUAUCACUUAUAGUCUCAUACAUGACCAAGUGCUAAGUAAUAAAAGUGUAGAUUUUUGAAUAAUCGAUUUAUUAUUCAUCAAAGAGAAUUGCCUAUUAAUAGGCAGAUUACAACAGAAAACUACAGGCUAAGCUAUACAAUUAACCUAGGUCAACUAAUCUCCUAAAAAUCAAGAAUAUGCAAUAUAUUAGGAAAUAAGAUAAUUCGGUUUCCUUAAAGGAUUGAUACCAAAUAAAUACAAGAUAUUUACAUAAUUCUACACUCUUCCUCAAGCUGGGUUAUGUAUAUCAAACAUUCCCAGCUUGCACACUAAUUCAUCAAAGACAAUUUUAGGAAGGGCUUUGGUAAGAACAUCAGCUAUUUGAAGUCUUGAUGGAGUAUAGAUAGUUUGAACUGUGGCACUCUCUAUCUUCUCAAUGAUCAAGUGUCGAUCUAUCUCACUAUGUUUUGUCAUGUCAUGAUGAACAGGAUUUUUAGCAAUACUAAUAGCAGCCUGAUUAUCGCAAAGCAUUUUUAUGGACUCGCCUGCAAAUAGUCUUAGUUCACUCAGUAAUCUUUUUAGCCAAAUCCCUUCACAAACACCUAGAGCAAGAGCUCUAAAUUCUGCUUCAGCUGUACUUCUGGAAACCACUGAUUGUUUCUUACUUCUCCAAGUCACUAGAUUACCCCAAACAUAAGAACAACAUCCUGAAGUACUCCUGUCUGUUACGUCUCCUGCCCAAUCUGCAUCAGUGUAGACUUUGAUCUCUCUGCUAUCACUUUUCUUGAAUUAUAGACCUUUCCCAGGAUUCAUCUUGAGGUAUCUUAAGAUUCUAGUAACAUCUUCCAUGUGUUCUUCAGUAGGAUUGUUCAUGUAUUGACUGACAACACUAACUGAAAAACCAAUGUCAGGUCUGGUAUGAGAUAGGUAGAUCAGGCGUCCAACUAACCUUUGAUAUCUCCCCCUGUCUACUGGUGUCAUAUCCUUUCCUAAACCCACUUUCUUGUUGGAGUCCAUUGGGGUUGAGGCAGGUUUGCAUCCAAGCAUUCCUGUUUCCUUCAGUAAGUCUAGAACGUACUUACGUUGAGAAACAAAUAUGCCAUGUCUUGAUCGAGCAAUUUCCAUGCCAAGAAAAUAUCUAAGAUACCCAGGAUCUUUAAUCUCGAAUUCCUUAGAUAAGAAAUCUUUCAAUCUCUCCAUCUCCUCCUUGUAGUCACCUGUAAGUAUUAUGUCAUCCACAUAGACAAUUAGGAUAGCUAUCCUUUUAUUUGACGAGAAUCUAACAAACAAAGUGUGAUCUGCUUGACAUUGAGUAUACUCAUUCUGAAUGAUUGCUUUAGUGAAUCUGCCAAACCAUGCUCGUGGAGAUUGUUUAAGACCAUACAAAGAUUUCUUGAGUUUGCACACUUUGUCUUGAUUUGAAGAGUUCUCGAAGCCCGGCGGAAUGUCCAUAUAAACUUCUUCUUCAAGGUCACCGUUUAGGAAUGCAUUUUUCAUAUCAAGUUGGUGUAGGGGCCAAUCUUUAUUUGCAGCAAGGGAUACAUGUACAGUGUUAAGCUUGGCAACAGGCGCAAACGUUUCUUGAUAAUCGAUUCUGUAGGAUUGAAUGAAGCCUUUAGCAACAAGGCAAGCUUUAAACCUCUCAAUGCUCCCAUCUGCUUUGUGUUUAACGGUAAAGACCCACUUGCAACCCACGGAUUUCUUCCCAGGUGGUAGACUUGUGAUUGUCCAAGUACUGUUUUUCACCAAAGCACUAAUCUCAUUUUCCACAGCCUCUUUCCAUCGAGAAUCAGUCAGAGCCUCUUGAAUUGUGUGAGGAAUCUGUAUAUUAUCAAUAACAGAGACAAACGCCUGAUAGGAUAGUGAUAAUGUUUUGUAAGAUAUAAAAUUGCCAAUAGGAUGUUCUGUACAUGCACGAACUCCCUUUCUCAACGCAAUCGGCAAAUCUAAAUCAUCAUUUAUUUGAACAACAUUAUCAUGGUUAGAAUUACUUAAACCUGAACGAGUUUCUGGAGAAUGAGGAUCCGGUUCCGAUUCAUGGUGGUCCUCCAGAUGUGUUGUGUGCUCUAUAUCUUUACCAUAUUUUUUUCUUCUCGUAUAGACACGAAUUUCUGGUUCUUGACAAGGUGCAAGAGCCAUGGAUGGACCUGGAGAGUUUUCAAUGAUUUGGGAACCUAAGGGUUUAGAGGAAGAUGAAACUUGAUUUUCUAUGACUUGAGAGUUGGAAGAAUCCUCAUGGUGAACACUCGGAGAUGAAGUAUUAUUAAUACUCGGAAUAGUGUCCCAAAGAUGAGAUUCACCUGCAUUCUCCCCCUGAAUCUCAGAUUUGUAGCAAGCAUGAUUUUCAAAAAAGGUGACAUCCAUAGUGUUAUACAUUUUUCGAGUUAUAAGCGAAUAACAUUUAUAACCCUAUUAAUGAGAGGAAUAACCAAGAAAAAUACAUUUGAUAGAUUUAGGGUCUAGCUUACUACGAUUUUGAGAAUGAAGAUGACGAAGGCUGUGCAACCAAAGAUCUUAGGAUUAAGAAGACUAAUGAAUUUCGUAUGAGGGAAUGAUUGCAAAACUGUGUGACAUGGAGUUUGAAAGUUGAGUACUCGAGAUGGCAUUCGAUUGAUUAGAUAGGUGGCUGUAAGAACAGCUUCUCCUCAGAAAUAUUUGGGAACCUGAGUAGAAAACAUGAGAGAGCGACUUCUAAGAAAUGUCUAUUUUUCUGUUCAGCAACCCCAUUUUGUUGAGGAGUAUCAACACAAGAGCUUAAGUGUAGAAUACCUUGUUGUGUGAGGUAAGGACCGAGAAUAGAAUUGAAGAAAUCUGUGGCAUUGUCGGUCUUGAGGAUUUGAAUUUUAGUAAGAAACUAAGUUUGAAUCAUAGUGAAAUUUUUUAAAAAUUUCACUUACUUCUGAUUUUGAUUUUAUGAGAAACACCCAAGUUAAUCUAGUAUGAUCAUCGAUAAAAGAUGCAAACUAUUUUUGUCCAGUUAUAUUGUUUACACGUGAGGGACCCCACACAUCACUAUGGAUCAAUGAAAACGGUUUGGAAGAUUUAUAUGGUAUUAUAGAAUAGGUAUUUCGAGUGUGUUUUGCAAAUUGACAGAUUUCACAACAAAAAGAGAUUGGAUUUUUAUUAAUAAAUAAGGAGGGAAACAUUUUUGACAAAUAUAGAAAAUUCGGAUGACCAAGACGAUAGUGCCUACAUAAUAUCACUAUCUUUAUUUGAAAUAGACUGAUUAUUUAAAGAAAACAAACUGAAUUUCUGAGCUGUCCUAACGGAUGGAGUGUCAUCUUGUAGGAUAUAGAGCCCAGAACACAUCUUAGCACUGUCAAUCAUCUUCCCCGAAUCCAAUUCCUGAAACACACAAAUUUGAGUAAAACUUAGUCACACAGUUUAGGUCACGAGUAAAUUUACUAAUAGGUAGUAAAUUACAAUCCAGUUUAGGCACAUAGAGAACAGAAGUGAGAGUUAGGUUCUGAUUUAUGUUGACUGAACCCGAACCCUCAACCUUAGAGGAUGUGCCGUCUGCAAUUUUCACUGUAUGAUGCUCUGGACUUGUGUGAAAUUCAAAAAAAAUAUUUGCAUCUCCUGUCAUAUGAUCUGAUGCUCCCGAAUCAAGAAUCCUAGGGUUAGUAGUUCUUUUAUUGACAAUAAAAGCUACUGAAUGGUUGCCUUUCAUGGCCAAUAGCCCUGUACCAGGUGUAGUAUUCGGCUUUGCAGCGAUGUGUGACCGACUUGGGAGUUUCUGAAGUGCCUCUAAUUGUGCUUUAGUGAACGGUGAUGAAUCAGAUGUGUCCCCUUUUCCUUCAGCAGCAGCAACAUUUAAAAUGGCAGCGACAUUCCCGUGACUCUCUGUCUUUCCAUGAUUUCGGCUUCCAAUCAGCAGGCUUUCCAUGAAGUUUCCAGCAUGUUUCUUUGAAAUGCCCAGGUUUACGACAGUGAACGCACCAUGGUCGACCCUUCUGCUGUCCUCUUGCAGCAAGAGCAGAGGACUCUUGAGUAGAUGGAAAAGCGCCCAUCAUGACCUUCUUUCUGCUUUCUUCAUGUCGAAUCUCUAAGAAUGCUUCUUUGACUGUCGGAAGUGGCUUGAUACUCAUGAUCCUACUCCUGACAGCAUCAAGUUCCUUAUUGAGACCAUGAAGAAAUUUGAAAGUUCUCAUUUUCUCUACAGUACUCCGGUAUAGAGUAGUAUCAUCUGUACACUUCCAAGAAUAGGUUUCAAAUAGGUCCAAUUGAUGCCAAAAACGAGUAAGAGUGUUAAAAUAUUGUGUGACUGUAGUAUCUUCUUGGCGGAGAUCGUAAAGAGCGGCUUCAAUCUCAAAUAAUUCUGAUGUAUUAUCAGACCGAGAAUAAAAAUCUUUGACAGCAUCCCAAAGUUCCUUGGCUGUCGAAUAUAAAAGAAAGUUUUCUCCUAUAUCAUUAUUCAUUGAACUAACCAGCCAAGAUUUGAUCAUGUGAUUAUCUAUUUUCCAAGUUUUAUACUUUGGAUUGUCUGAUUUUGGAGUCUCAAUCUCCCCUGUGAGAUAUUCCUCCUUCCCCUUUCCAUCGAUAUACAUCAUUACUGACUGUGACCAUUGAAGAUAAUUAUGGCCAUUGAACUUGUGGUUGGUGACCAGAGAAACAACGUCAUUACUGUGAGAUGAAGAACUGAUUGAUGCAUGUGGAUUAGAGAGGGUUGAUGGAUAGGAGGAUGCAUCUGAGUUUAGGCUUUCUUUUUUAGUAGCCAUGGUGAAAGUGAUGCGUGAAAAGAUGAACAGAGGAGAAGGGCUGGUACGAUUUAGAGAAAGAAUGAGUGAAAGAGGCUGGUGCGAUUAGGGCAGAAAAGAAAGGAAAAAAAAUAUUGCGAUUAAAACCACCCCUGCUUUGAUACCAUGUAGAUUUUUGAAUAAUUGAUAUAUUAUCCAUCAAAGAGAAUUUCUUAUUAAUAGGCAGAUUACAACAGAAAACAAUAGGCUAGCUAUACAAUUAACCUAGGUGAACUAAUCUCCUAAAAAUCAAGAAUAUACAAUAUAUUAGGAAAUAAGAUAAUUUGGUUUCCUUAAAGGAUUGAUACCAAAUAAAUACAAGAUAUUUACAUAAUUCUACAAAAAGUUAUGUAAGUUAUAUGCUAUUUUCACUUAUAGUCUCAUACAUGACUAAGUGCUAAGUAAUAAAAGCUAUGUAAGUUAUAUGCUAUUUUCCUAAGCUCACACCCUGCAUCAAUUUAAGUGUCACCUUAAGGUCAUAGCUUUAUUUGCAUAAAAAAAAACUAUGUAAGCAAUUCAUUGUGACAAAUGCUAAGUGAUAAAAACCAUGCUGAGUUAUAUGUUGUUUUCCUAAAAGCUCACACUUGGCAUAAAAGCUAUGUAAGCAAUUCAUUGUGAUAAAACAUAUGUAAGUUAUAUGUUAUUUUCCUAACAUCUCACACUUGACAUUAAUAAAAAAUUUGGCUUCAAAUCUGAAUGCUAAGUAUUGACACUAGUUCAAGUGUAUAAAAGAUCACCAAUCCGACUACUCUAUAAUUGCAACCAAAGCAGGUGCUAAAUAUCAUCAAUCUGAGUGCUCAAUGAAACAUAUGGUUCAGCUGUAAUGAUUAGUUAAAUAAUAAUGUGUAAAUUGUCUUACACAAGUUGGUGUAAAAUAGUUUAUGGUUUCACACAAGAUGUGAAAUUAUGAGUUUCUGACGUUAGCAUCUAGAAUUAAAUUUUUUAGUUUCAAACUGAUACAAUAAAGUAUUUAAGCAUCUUCAAAAGUUUGAGAACUUUCGAAGUGGUUUUGGCAUGGAAAUAGAAAUGUCGAGCAGCAGGAUGGGCGACAUGUCGCCACCCUUAGGGUGACAUGUGGUGGCCUUCUUGGUGACAUGUUGUGGCUCCUACUCCUAGGGUGAUAAUUUCAUUUUUUGGCUCCAAAAAUAUACUUUAAAAAAGUUUAAUUCUAUUGGUUAAGCCUAGGACAUUGCUAACAAUAUAAUUAGGAGUUUUAAGAGUACUAAACCUUUGAUCAUAUUUUUGAACUCUACUAGCUUUGAAAGAACAUCAAUUUUCUCCGAGAAACUCAUUAAGAUUUACUUGACUUGUGUGAGUUUCAAGGCUUGUUGUAUUUGAAUCCUCAUUCCACUAUUGUUUAAGCCUCAAGGUACAUUUGAUUGCAUGACCUAGGGCUCAAUCCAUACUCAGAUGUAUGCCGAAGUUUUCAUAAAUAUUGGAGGAAUUCUUAACUACAUUCAAAUAUAAGGGACAAGGUGACAAUCGGAUGCAAUCCAAGUGCUCACAAUGAUCUCUUAUGAGCAUCAUUUAAUAUUAUUUUACUUUGCUCCCAAGAUGCUUCAAACUAGGGACCGAAGUCACGUAUUAGAGGGGAAGCAGUCUACUCUCCAAACUAGGUAGCAGUUUUUCUCUGAAAUAGGGCGAAGAUCACUUCUCCAGGGCCAUGAUUUGGAGAGCAAUGACUCCUGGGAAGCUUACAAAAGUCCAUUCUUAGACUAAGAGGGGGGGACAACCAUUUUCCUACUGUUACUGUACCAAAAUUCAGACUCAUUCACUCCAUCAAACUGUUGUCAUACUCGGAACUAUUCUUUGGUUCUUUGACCCUUACUGAUCUAUCACUUUUUCUCUUUGAACUAUUUACUUUCUGUCAGUUUGUUUUUGUUAUAUUUGUCUACAAGUUUACUGACCUAACUAUCAGAGUGCCUUCAGCUGAAACCAUCUUGAUGUUUCAUGAUUUUCCAGUUACUUGUUUGUCUAUGUUAUAUGAGGUGUAAACGAUGACGAUCAACUUCAAUGAUUGUAGAUUUUAGCAUCUACAAUUACUACCUUUUCCUUUCCUGUUAGAGACAACAGGUAUUGGAAGUUCAGCUUCCUGGGAAGAAAGUAGUGAAUGCAGCCUCCUUUUGGAACGGAUUGCGAGGUCAAAAGCUCAAGACUGUAUCACGAGAGAAAUAACAUGGAGACAGCAAUGUAAGUUGAUCAAGAUUUAGGUUGAGCUACUCGAGCAUGGGUUAAGCAAAUUAUGUUUGCGUUGUAUUCCUUUUUAUAUAUAUUUCUAUAAUGUACUCCACCAUUCUUUGUUUAAUACAUGAUAGUUGUCCUUUCUGCCAAAACUAGAGCCACAUUGACAAUUCUUUUGAUCAACUCUUGUGAUUUUUACACAUGUAGCAAAGAGCUUGAUCUCAUUAUUUAGUC